GACGAACGCUGGCGGCGUGCUUAACACAUGCAAGUCGAACGGAAAGGCCCUGCUUUUGUGGGGUGCUCGAGUGGCGAACGGGUGAGUAACACGUGAGUAACCUGCCCUUGACUUUGGGAUAACUUCAGGAAACUGGGGCUAAUACCGGAUAGGAGCUCCUGCUGCAUGGUGGGGGUUGGAAGGUUUCGGCGGUUGGGGAUGGCCUCGCGGCCUAUCAGCUUGUUGGUGGGGUAGUGGCUUACCAAGGCUUUGACGGGUAGCCGGCCUGAGAGGGUGACCGGCCACAUUGGGACUGAGAUACGGCCCAGACUCCUACGGGAGGCAGCAGUGGGGAAUAUUGCACAAUGGGCGGAAGCCUGAUGCAGCAACGCCGCGUGCGGGAUGACGGCCUUCGGGUUGUAAACCGCUUUCGCCUGUGACGAAGCGUGAGUGACGGUAAUGGGUAAAGAAGCACCGGCUAACUACGUG
rnacentral:rRNA from 1 species